CCUACGGGAGGCAGCAGUGAGGAAUAUUGGUCAAUGGACGAGAGUCUGAACCAGCCAAGUAGCGUGAAGGAUGACUGUCCUAUGGGUUGUAAACUUCUUUUAUAUGGGAAUAAAAUGUUCCACGUGUGGGAUUUUGUAUGUACCAUAUGAAUAAGGAUCGGCUAACUCCGUGCCAGCAGCCGCGGUAAUACGGAGGAUCCGAGCGUUAUCCGGAUUUAUUGGGUUUAAAGGGAGCGUAGGUGGAUUGUUAAGUCAGUUGUGAAAGUUUGCGGCUCAACCGUAAAAUUGCAGUUGAAACUGGCAGUCUUGAGUACAGUAGAGGUGGGCGGAAUUCGUGGUGUAGCGGUGAAAUGCUUAGAUAUCACGAAGAACUCCGAUUGCGAAGGCAGCUCACUGGACUGCAACUGACGCUGAUGCUCGAAAGCGCGGGUAUCGAACAGGAUUAGAUACCCGGGUAGUC
rnacentral:rRNA from 1 species